GAUGAACGCUGGCGGCGUGCCUAAUACAUGCAAGUCGAGCGAACGGACGAGAAGCUUGCUUCUCUGAUGUUAGCGGCGGACGGGUGAGUAACACGUGGAUAACCUACCUAUAAGACUGGGAUAACUUCGGGAAACCGUAGCUAAUACCGGAUAAUAUUUUGAACCGCAUGGUUCAAAAUUGAAAGACGGUCUUGCUGUCACUUAUAGAUGGAUCCGCGCUGCAUUAGAUAGUUGGUAAGGUAACGGCUUACCAAGGCAACGAUGCAUAGCCGACCUGAGAGGGUGAUCGGCCACACUGGAACUGAGACACGGUCCAGACUCCUACGGGAGGCAGCAGUAGGGAAUCUUCCGCAAUGGGCGAAAGCCUGACGGAGCAACGCCGCGUGAGUGAUGAAGGUCUUCGGAUCGUAAAACUCUGUUAUUAGGGAAGAACAUAUGUGUAAGUAACUGUGCACAUCUUGACGGUACCUAAUCAGAAAGCCACGGCUAACUACGUG
rnacentral:rRNA from 1 species